GGGCUCGGCGGUGUCCGCGCAGGGAGACGCGGGCGCCGAGGUCGCUGGGCAGGACAGCAGCAUGCUCACCGGGACGAUACGGCUCUUUGGUCAG
rnacentral:ribozyme from 1 species